GCGCGGGGUCGCCCAGCUUGGUCAACGGCGGUGGGUUUAGGUCCCAUUCCUUAUCGGUUCGCAGGUUCGAAUCCUGCCCCCCGCACCA
rnacentral:tRNA from 1 species